AUUUUUUUUAGUCUUCAACAAAAAUAAAGGCGAGAUGGUGAAAGUGUUGGACCACGUGCAGCAUGGAGGACGCUGGACGCGUCAUGAACAACAGAUGAACUCUCUCCAUGAUCAGGUUCUAAUUCUCAGGGUCUUUGUGCAUUCGUGCAAGAAGAAGAGUGAGUUUAGUUCUGAUGGCUGAAUUGGCGGCUAUGACGCGGGCAGAAAGGGUGGCAAAUGCUCUUCAGCUACAAGCUGCUAUUUUUCACACAGAUUGCAAGGAGGCUGUUUUGCAAUUGCAAAAGGGGAGGAGGUUUCUUUUCUGGAGGUUGAGGCCACUUCUCUCUCACUUUUCAAGCCUUCUAGACUGCUGUUCUUUUGAGGUGGUUAAAAUUUGUAGACAAGAGAACUAGUUUGCACAUUGCCUUGCUAUGCAGGCAAGAGCCGUUCUUAAUCACGGUUCUAUAGUAUUCUCUUGUACUUCUCACCACCGUCUAUCUCUUUGCGCUGUUCUUACAGCGCUUCAGAAUGUAACAUGGGAUCAGUUUGAUCUCAUUUAUGUCACAAUGUUCCUAACAAAUAAAGUGAGUUGUUAUUAACAAAAAAAA